AAUAUUAGCAUAACACAUUAAUUCUUAAUUUUUUGUUGAAUUUAUAUUUAACAAAUCAUUUGUUUUCACCAGAUAAGCCCAAAACCAAGUUUCAAGUUGAUUUAAUUUUGAUACUAAAGGAAGCAACUAUUGAUAUAUCUUUAAGGAAGCCCAUUUUCACAAGGAAGUUUUGCAACAACUCUGAACCUCCAAGUCAAUUUGUUAUUAAAAUGAAUUUAGCUUUUUUCAUCCGAGGUGCUAACUUUAACGAGAUCAAUUUAUUUGAGAGAACUAGUUUUAAAAAUCGCGUAAAUACUAAGGAAACAUUUUUAAAGAUUGCAAGAAGAAAUGGUAAACUUCAUUUUCCAAAUUUUUACUCAAACAAGGUUUAUUUCAAGGGUACUGGAGGGUCACUCACUUAGAAUUACCUCCUUUUUAACGCUUAAUAAUAUCUUUCUUCUUAAGGAAUUUUAAUGAGGAAUUUUUUAUACCCUAUAUCUUUGCAACAUGAUAGUAUAAACUUUUGAUUAUUUAAUCUAACGGAUUCAUAAUUUGAAAUAUCUAAGGUCUGCUACAUUGCGCUGCAAAGAUAUUAAGAUUAGAAAAUUUAAUUUUGUGGCACAGUCUUAAUUCCUUUAAAGAAAUAAAUUUAAGUUUGUGGCACAGACUUAAUUCCUUUGAAGAAAUAAAUUUGUUAAGAACAGAAUCUUGUUCACUGCUAAUUGAUUCGUUUUUCAUAAUUUUCAUAAUUUACAUUUCUCUUUCUUUUAGACUGAGCUUAUGUGCCCCCAAUAGUAGUGCACCAGGAACCUGAUUUGAUGAACCAUACUUUUUUUCUAAUAACAUGGCUCAUAAGAGAAGUUGCUGAACUCUGUAUACGCGGUUCAUCUACUUCCCAAUCUAAACCAGCAAGUUGUUCCAGAUAUUGCAUUGUCUAGCUAUAGAAGACUGAGCUUAUGUGCCACUUAGUAACUGCACCAGUGCUCCUAAUCUAAACUAAAGGAUGUUUCAGAAAUAUCAACAUUGCCAAUAAGACUGAGCCACCUAGUAGCUGCACCAGUGCUCCUAAUCUAAACCCUAAGGAUGUCCUAGAAAUAUCAACAUUGCCAAGAAGUUCUGUAUAAAUAAAAGGAUUCAAAAAUACUCAAAAAAACUUUACUUUCAAAUCAAUUCUAUUUUAAUAUGACUACCGUAUAAUAUUUUUACUCUCUUUGGUAUCUUAAACAACUUAAUACAUUAUGGAAGAAGACAUUUUAAACUAUUCACCAACUGUCAUGUUUCGUGGGACACCCUGUAUUAUGGAGUAAUUAAUGGACAAUUUAUUGUUUGCCUUCAAGAAUUAUCCUAAUUUAAUUUGUAAUCUUGGAUAUUGUAAAGAUAAUUUAUUGUUCUUCAGCUUUAAAGACUUUUAACAAAUGAAUAAAUAAAAAUUUGGGGAAAAAAGUGGUCCGCAGAAAA